CAAAAUAUUAUUUAUGCCAGGGGGAGUCAAAUGGCGGCACCCAGAUAAUUUUUAUCUGGCCCUCCAACUGGUUUUUGAUGUUUAAAACCGCUCGCAAUCUGAUAUCAAAGUCCCCGCAAAGGUUUAGCGUUUUCAGCGUGAAUGUCAACCCGUUCUCACGCUGAAGAAGUCUCCUUCAGAACACAUCGCGAUAUUUGGCAUCAGUUCGCGUGUGCUGGAUGUUGGUAAGUAGUCGUAAAUACGCUGUUCUAAUGUUUGAUAUAAUGUCUUUUCUGUUUGCAGAUAUUAAUCAGAUUAACGUUAGCUCCCUCAUGUUCAGUCACUGCAUUAUAUCUGUCACCUCCGCUAAGGUUUUGCUUUUCAUUGUUUUCUAUAUUAAAUAGUACUAAACUAGGGUGAUUAAACACUGUCACGUGACGUGCAAUAUAUUGCACAAUAUAUAUAACAUAUUCAUAUCAGGUUCAAAGUAGUACAAGUGUAGUUUCAAAAUGGUAUUUGUUGUAGAAGCACGGUAAAAAAACAACACUUACCAUGCUUUUUACCACAGUAUUGGUAGUUUUAAUUAGAUUUUUGUUGUAAAUACAGAGUAACCACAACACUUAUCAUGCUUUUAAUGCCUAAUAAUGUUAAAUCCAAAAACUGUAAGGUCAAUAAGAACUUCUUUCCUAUAUAUAUUUAUAUAUAAACCUAUAUAUUAUAAAUAAUGAUAUUUUCUUUUCUCUUGUUUUAGCUGAAAAGACAAAAAGGGCCUUUUGGAAAUGGAUGAAGGAGACAGAAAGCUGCAAAGGCAAAUAAUUGCAAUGAAGGAAAUCCUACAGUUAUGUAUGAACUCACAACAUCAUCAUCAAGUGCUGUGCUGGGCACAUUGGGUAACAAGUGUCCUCCAACGUAUCCAAUCUGUGACCACAUUCUCCACAUCUUCCCAUGGGACACCGACAUUCUUCAGGCCUUCGUUUCCAUGUCUUCCCCUGCAUUCUCCUGGUGGUGUCCACUUCAUAUCUGUCUUUGGGUGUUGUUGUUUGGUCAUGCUUAGGGUGUGUCCGGGGAGGUGCACCCUUCACUCUGUCACAGUUUUUAAAAGUCUUCACGUGGACUCCUCCUUAUGAUCUCCUUGAAACGUGCAGAACCAAUAUUGAAAAUAGUAAUUUAUCUUUUUCCAUAUUCUUGCCUUUAUCAAAGAAGCACCAGUGCUCAUCCGGAGUUUUGGUAAAAGUUCUAGUAAUGCUGCGACUAUAGUCAAAUAUGUAUUUCUGCAUGUGUGUAUAGCAGGUGUUUGUCCGAACAAUUGAAGUUAGUGAGAGUGUUCAGGAAAACCCUCUGAGAACAAUCAAUAUUUAUUUAAUUCUGUUUGGUGCUGAUAUAGAGUAUUACAGAAAUGACACAUUGACAUUCUGGACAUUAUUCUGUGAGUUUGUUACCUCUUCAUUUAGAUGGACUUGAAAAUGUCUUG